rnacentral:rRNA from 1 species
AUUGAACGCUGGCGGCAGGCCUAACACAUGCAAGUCGAACGGCAGCACAGAAGAGCUUGCUCUUUGGGUGGCGAGUGGCGGACGGGUGAGUAAUGUCUGGGAAACUGCCCGAUGGAGGGGGAUAACUACUGGAAACGGUAGCUAAUACCGCAUAACGUCGCAAGACCAAAGUGGGGGACCUUCGGGCCUCACACCAUCGGAUGUGCCCAGAUGGGAUUAGUUAGUAGGUGGGGUAAUGGCUCACCUAGGCGACGAUCCCUAGCUGGUCUGAGAGGAUGACCAGCCACACUGGAACUGAGACACGGUCCAGACUCCUACGGGAGGCAGCAGUGGGGAAUAUUGCACAAUGGGCGCAAGCCUGAUGCAGCCAUGCCGCGUGUAUGAAGAAGGCCUUCGGGUUGUAAAGUACUUUCAGCGGGGAGGAAGGCGGUGAGGUUAAUAACCUCGCCGAUUGACGUUACCCGCAGAAGAAGCACCGGCUAACUCCGUGCCAGCCGCCGCGGUAA